rnacentral:rRNA from 1 species
UGAGGAAUAUUGCACAAUGGGCGCAAGCCUGAUGCAGCGACGCCGCGUGGGUGAUGAAGGCUUUCGGGUCGUAAGACCCUUUUUUGUGUGACGAGUAAGGACGGUAGCACAAGAAUAAGCCUCGGCUCACUACGUGCCAGCAGCCGCGGUAAAACGUAGGAGGCGAGCGUUAUCCGGAGUUACUGGGCGUAAAGCGCGUGUAGGUGGUUUGUUGCGUCUGCUGUGAAAUGUCCCGGCUCAACCGGGACUAGGCGGUAGAUACGGGCAGACUAGAGGGUGACAGAGGAGCGUAGAAUUCCGGGUGUAGUGGUGAAAUGCGUAGAGAUCCGGAGGAAUACCAGUGGCGCAAGCGGCGCUCUGGGUCGAGCCUGACACUGAGACGCGAAGGCAUGGGGAGCGGAACGGGAUUAGAAACCCCGGUAGUCCAUGCAGUAAACGAUGCAGACUGGGUGUGGGUAGCGCAGGCUAUCUGU